GAAGAGAGAGUUCAAGAGACCGUGAAACCGUUGUAGUGGAAGCGGAUGGAGCCGACGUAUCCAGUGCGCAUUUAGCCAUUGUCGGAUGCAAUUGGUUGGUUUGGAGUUCUGAAAAGUGUCCGGCGGACAAUUGUUGCGUUCGGUGAAUGGUGCACUUGCGCACAGAGUGCGCCGAAUCGUCUGGGCUUGGCGUUCGAAGUGCGGCCAAGAGGACCGGCUCGCAAGAGCCGGAAACCUGGACCGAACGGGGCGACGCAUGAGUCUGGUCGCGUUGCAUAAGGCUGGUCGACUUGAGGUGGGCGUGGAGGUUGCUACGUUGUUGGGGUGCGGCGCGUGCGUUUCGCCUCAUGACGUGUUUCUUUCCGCGGUCGUUUCUCGGCCGGUAUUCGGUGUUUAGUCGGUCACCCAUUUGACCCGUCUUGAAACACGGACCAAGGAGUUUAAGGUCUGCGCAAGUCGUUGGGUGGGAAACUCAAAGGCGAAAAUGAAAGUGGGACACUUGGUGUCUGUGAUGCGAUCCGUGUGUGAUUCGUUGUAUGCGGAGCAGCAUCGACCCAUGGCCAGAACUUGUUCUGUUGUGGUGUCCGAGCGCAGGCUUUGAGACCCGAAAGAUGGUGAACUAUGCCUGAACAGGACGAAGUCAGAGGAAACUCUGAUGGAAGUCCGAAGCGGUUCUGACGUGCAAAUCGAUCGUCUGAUUUGGGUAUAGGGGCGCAAGACUAAUCGAACCAUC
rnacentral:rRNA from 1 species